GAUGAACGCUAGCUAUAGGCUUAACACAUGCAAGUCGAGGGGAAACGGCAUUAUGUGCUUGCACAUUUUGGACGUCGACCGGCGCACGGGUGAGUAUCGCGUAUCCAACCUUCCCUCCACUCGGGGAUACCCCGUUGAAAGACGGCCUAAUACCCGAUGUUGUCCACAUAUGGCAUCUGACGUGGACCAAAGAUUCAUCGGUGGAGGAUGGGGAUGCGUCUGAUUAGCUUGUUGGUGCGGGUAACGGCCCACCAAGGCGACGAUCAGUAGGGGUUCUGAGAGGAAGGUCCCCCACAUUGGAACUGAGACACGGUCCAAACUCCUACGGGAGGCAGCAGUGAGGAAUAUUGGUCAAUGGACGUAAGUCUGAACCAGCCAAGUAGCGUGCAGGAUUGACGGCCCUAUGGGUUGUAAACUGCUUUUGUUGGGGAGUAAAGUGAGGCACGCGUGCCUUUUUGCAUUUACCCUUCGAAUAAGGACCGGCUAAUUCCGUGCCAGCAGCCGCGGUAAUACGGAAGGUCCAGGCGUUAUCCGGAUUUAUUGGGUUUAAAGGGAGUGUAGGCGGUCUGUUAAGCGUGUUGUGAAAUUUAGGUGCUCAACAUUUAACUUGCAGCGCGAACUGGCGGACUUGAGUGCACGCAACGUAUGCGGAAUUCAUGGUGUAGCGGUGAAAUGCUUAGAUAUCAUGACGAACUCCGAUUGCGAAGGCAGCGUACGGGAGUGUUACUGACGCUUAAGCUCGAAGGUGCGGGUAUCGAACAGGAUUAGAUACCCUGGUAGUCCGCACGGUAAACGAUGGAUGCCCGCUGUUAGCGCCUGGCGUUAGCGGCUAAGCGAAAGCAUUAAGCAUCCCACCUGGGGAGUACGCCGGCAACGGUGAAACUCAAAGGAAUUGACGGGGGCCCGCACAAGCGGAGGAACAUGUGGUUUAAUUCGAUGAUACGCGAGGAACCUUACCCGGGCUUGAAUUGCAGACGUAGGAUACAGAGAUGUUGACUCCCUUCGGGGC
rnacentral:rRNA from 1 species